UACAGAGGCCACAAGCGUUAUUCGGAAUCACUGGGCUUAAAGGGUGCGUAGGCUGGUCCGUAAGUGUUCUGUGAAAGCCCCCGGCUCAACCGGGGAAUUGCAGGGCAUACUGCGGAUCUUGAGGCAUGUAGGGGCGGGCAGAACAGUAGGUGGAGCGGUGAAAUGCGUAGAUAUCUACUGGAAUGCCGAUGGGGAAGCCGGCCCGCUGGGCAUGUCCUGACGCUGAGGCACGAAAGCGUGGGGAGCAAACAGG
rnacentral:rRNA from 1 species